rnacentral:rRNA from 1 species
CAGUCGCCACGGUAAUACGUAGGGUGCAAGCGUUAAUCGGAAUUACUGGGCGUAAAGCGCACGUAGGCGGUUAUUCAAGUCAGAGGUGAAAGCCCGGGGCUCAACCCCGGAACUGCCUUUGAAACUAGAUGACUGGAAUCUUGGAGAGGUCAGUGGAAUUCCGAGUGUAGAGGUGAAAUUCGUAGAUAUUCGGAAGAACACCAGUGGCGAAGGCGACUGACUGGACAAGUAUUGACGCUGAGGUGCGAAAGCGUGGGGAGCAAACAGGAUUAGAGACCCCUGUAGUCCCUGUCUCUUAUAC